CGGAAUUGAAGCAUCUUAGUACGACGAGGAAAAGAAAUCAAUUGAGAUUUCCCAAGUAGUGGCGAACGAAACGGAAACAGCCCAAACUGAAUCUGUUAUGGUAACAUAACAGAGAUGUGGUGUUUUGGUUAUGAUAUUACGAUCCUAGAAUACAGCUGAAGUGUUCUGGAACGUACCGGCGAAGUGGGUGAUACCCCCGUAAGCGAAGUAGUAUAGGAUCUUAUCAUGACCCGAGUAGCUGUCCUUGGCAGUGGGCAGUGAAUAUAGGUGAAAGUAGUAUCUGAGGCUAAAUAUUUCUCAAGACCGAUAGUGAACUAGUACCGUGAGGGAAAGCUGAAAAGUACCCCGGAAGGGGGCUGAAAAGCGCAUGAAACUUACUGGUUACAGACGUGCAUGGCAUGAAAGGUGAUUUUUCCAUACUGGAGGUUCUAGCAAUAGAGCUAAAGGUUUGGAGGUCAAAUCAUCAGUGUCAUGCGUUCCGUCUCGAAACACGGGCCAGGGAG
rnacentral:rRNA from 1 species